rnacentral:rRNA from 1 species
CCUACGGGGGGCAGCAGUGGGGAAUAUUGCACAAUGGGGGAAACCCUGAUGCAGCGACGCCGCGUGAGCGAUGAAGUAUUUCGGUAUGUAAAGCUCUAUCAGCAGGGAAGAAAAUGACGGUACCUGUCUAAGAUUCCCCGGCUAACUACGUGCCAGCAGCCGCGGUAAUACGUAGGGGGCAAGCGUUAUCCGGAUUUACUGGGUGUAAAGGGAGCGUAGACGGUCCUGCAAGCCAGAUGUGAAAGCUCGGGGCUCAACCCCGGGACUGCAGUUGGAACUGUAAGGCUAGAGUGUGGGAGAGGCAGGCGGAAUUCGUAGUGUAGCGGUGAAAUGCGUAGAUAUUAGGAGGAACCCCAGUGGCGAAGGCGGCCUGCUGCACGAUGACUGACGUUGAGGCUCGAAAGCGUGGGGAGCAAACAGGAUUAGAUACCCGUGUAGUC